ensembl:lncRNA
CUCCGGCGAUGACGACGUGCAACACUACGAAAGCUGAAAGUGAAAGUAAAGAUGCCAGAACGAAUCAGCAUCUCUCCAAGUUUGCAAAGAUCACAGAGGGAAUCAUGACGUCACACGGCUGUUUUCUCUGCCUGUUGCUUUUUAGUGUAAUCCCGAUCGAGCCAUCAGAAGCAGGUUGUAUGGACCACUUCACAAAAAAAGGAUUGGCAAACGCAUCAAGUGAGCUGCCAGAGAAUAUUACCGUCAAAAUAAUGAACAAGUCUGAGGACAUCAUUGUAUGUAGUUUAACGGAAGCCAAAGACUGUGCUAACAGCAAAACAGAAAAUACCUGCUUUCUACGGGACUGUUUUAAGGACGAGAAUAACAUGGGCUAUAAACCGCCAUGUAACGAGGCGGAUGAGAACAUCAGUGUCCCUUUCUACCACUUCAUGUGCUUGACAAAUAUAGCCAAGGGUCUACGAGAUAAAACAAAACCACCUGAAGUCUGUGAAGUGUACAAAAAAGUCUGUGGGGAAGAUUCUGCCACCCCAGCACCACCAAAACCUUCACCGACAACACCAACCAUUGAAGCAACACCAUCAACAGCACCAGCCAUUGAAGCAACACCAUCAACAGCACCAGCCAUUGAAGCAACACCAUCAACAGCACCAACCAUUGAAGCAACACCAUCAACACCACUGCCAACAACACCAACCACUAAAGCAACACCACCAACAGGACCAGCCAUCGACGCAACAUCAUCAACAGCACCAACCACUAAAGCAACACCACCAACAGGACCAGCCAUCGACGCAACAUCAUCAACAGCACCAGCCAUCGAAGCAACACCAACCAUUGAAGUAACAACAAAAAACCCAAGCACAGCAUCAACAACAAAAACAACAGCACCAUCAACGACAUCGUCAACAACAAGUACAACAGCAGCAUCAUUCCUGGUGAAUUCACGUUCAGAAAAAGAAACGGGAAGUGACAUCCAAAAGAUUUUAAUAGGAGUUCUUAUCAUGACGAACAUCAUUGUCCCCAUGGCAAUUUAUCUGUACAUGCGUAACCAGAUUCAGCAGAUUCCAAACUUGAGGGAAGAAGUAAGAAUGACAGAGAUGCAGCAAAACACAUUUCCCAGGGAUGUUGAAGAGGGUCCCAUUUUAUUAACGACGCCCGAGAGUUCCAUCAUCAUAAAUUCACCUGAAAACACCAUAAUUUAAAGCCCUUGCCCAAAUAGAACACACCAUUAGAAGUUCUGAGCUGCUGAGAAUCUGGAUAAAUCUGGAUACGAGGAUCUGCCUUACACAGAUCUGGACUUACACAGUCCAGGUGAAGUAAAGGUGGUCUGUGAAGGCCUCUGCGCCCAAAGGUGGAUAAGCUUCCAAUGUGAAGAAGAGUGGGACCAAACAAGCCGCAGCAUGCCUGUUCAUGUAACUGCUCUGCAGUCGCACAUCAAGAUUGUUUUCUGUCCGCCUCAUGCAAAAUGUUUUACUGCUGUGCUGGUUUUAAGUGACCAAAGUCUUACCAGAAGAAGUGCACUGCAGAAAAUCUGUUUUAACACGAACAAUAACGAGUUGGUUUUUUGUCAUAUUUAGAAUAAUUUUAAACACAAAGACACAGAUUAUGCAUGUAGUCAGUAAACAUAUAUAUGUGUGUGUCUCUGUGUGUUCAAGUGUUCCACUGUGCAGACUACUAUAUUUAGUGCGACUGCAAAAGAAAAAAGUUACGUUUUUAUGGCUAAUGGACUAAUUGCCUCUGUUCAUGUGUGCAUAUUUGGGGAAAGGUUUGGUGGCUUUUUUUCUAUUCCUUGUAUGUAUUAAGUAUGUUGUGAUAAAGCUUCAGCUGAAAAGCUAAAAGUGCCUAAAAAAAAUUAAAUAUUAUUAUUUUUUUUAUUGCACAAUGCACAUUAAGCGAAGCCACCAUAAAAAAUUGAACUUUUACCUUUUUCUAAGCCAGCUGUGCUAGCUUUACCCCUAAAAUGUGAUCUUAUCUGUUAACAGUUGUUCUAGAUAAGUUCUCACUGUACAGUCCUCAUACAUCCAUCGAAUGUGUUUGUGUUUCAUGGAAGUAUAAAUAGAAAAUUACCUACCGCAAUGCUUUUAUUAUUUUCAUAAAUCACUGCAAAAACAAAGAGAUGUGAAAAAAGCGGUCUCUGCACGUUUUCAUUUUCAUACUGUCACGUUAUUUCACUCUUAUAUAUGGUAAAUGGUCUGUAUUUGUAUAGCGCUUUACUUGGUCCACUCUUGUGUAUGUGUAAUUAUCCCACAUAUCUGUCCCUCACAUAUGGAAGACUGUAGACAUUGUUCUGUGUUUUCAGUUUUUGGCUUUUGAUGCAUUUGUGGAAUAUAUUUUAGUUUUUGUUUAUGUAAAAAUUUUUAUUUUUAUAUAUUUUUUAAGCCAACCACUUUAUUUAUUGUGUUUGUAAUAGAGACUGAGUAGGAGUUUUUUUGUUUUGUUUUUGAAUGUGUAGAUGUGAGUUUAGACAAGCAUCUAUGAUUCCCAUACAUACUCCUUGGUGUGGAACAAAAAUGUCCAGACUGAAAAGAGAAAAAUGUAAGCAGAUAAUAGAACGGACCCGGUGAACAUAUCUGAGCACAGGAGCCAGACUUGUAAAGUGUAUAAAAAGCUAUAUUUAAAACCAAGUAAUAAAUAAGAAAUGAAUAAAAAAGAAAAAUCAAACAAAAACAUUUCUUUAAUUGAAACAGUCACAUUAAGGAUUCAUCUACACCAGGGGUCCCCAAACCCCGUCCACAAGGGCCGGUGUCCCUGCAGGUUUUAAUAAUAAUAAUAAUAAUAAUGGAUUGGAUUUAUAUAACGCUUUUCAAGGCACCCAAAGCGCUUUACAAUGCCACUAUUCAUUCAUUCGCGCAUUCACACACUGGUGGAGGCAGCUACGGUUGUAGCCACAGCUGCCCUGGGGCAGACUGACAGAAGCGAGGCUGCCAUAUCGCGCCAUCGGCCCCUCUGGCCAACACCAGUAGGUGGCAGGUGAAGGACACAACGACCAGGACAGAGAGCCCGGGGAUCGAACUGGCGACCUUCCGGUUACAGAUGUGCUUCCCAAACCCCUGAGUUUUAGAUCUCACCCUGGGUCAACACACCUGAAUCACGUGAUUAGUUCAUUACCAGGCCUCUGGAGAACUUCAGGACAUGUUGGCUGUAUCCCAAUUCAGGGUCUGCAGCCUUAAAGUACGCAGCCUUGACGGUCCACACGGGCCGCGUACUCAAAGACUGCUAAGGCUGGAAGUGCGAGGCUUCUGAAAUGGGACGGUCUAGCCUCCGUUGCGCUGCCCAGGUUGCCUAGCAACCAUGACACUAACUGCUGGAAACGUUUCAUACAGCUUUGUUUGACAGAAAUAAAGGAG